AUUGAACGCUGGCGGCAGGCCUAACACAUGCAAGUCGACCGCGUGGCGGACGGGUGAGUAAUGUCUGGGAAACUGCCCGAUGGAGGGGGAUAACUACUGGAAACGGUAGCUAAUACCGCAUACCAUCGGAUGUGCCCAGAUGGGAUUAGCUAGUAGGUGGGGUAAAGGCUCACCUAGGCGACGAUCCCUAGCUGGUCUGAGAGGAUGACCAGCCCACCGGGAACUAGGACACGUGCCGGACUCCUACGGGAGGGAGCAGGGGGGAAUUUGGCACAAUGGGCUCAAGCCUGAUGCCGCCAUGCCGGGUGUAUGAAGAAGGCCUUCGGGUUGUAAAGUACUUUCAGCGGGGAGGCGUAACCCGCAGAAGAAGCACCGGCUAACUCCGUGCCAGCAGCGCGGUAAUAC
rnacentral:rRNA from 1 species